rnacentral:lncRNA from 1 species
AAGCUGUUCAUGAAGGAGCCUGCAACAGAAGAGUGGGUGGUUUGGGUAAAAUCCUACCCAAAGAGAUAGGGUAUCCAGACUUGGGCACAGCUACUGGCAAUACCAACCACCUAGUGUCAAGAGACACGUAGAUAAACCCAGGUAAGCUCACGUAACCACAAAGACUACGUCUGAACGCCAUUUGAUGUAAUAUCUUAGCUUUACCUUUUAUUUUUUGAGCUGGAAUGGGGUGAGGUUUGAGGUAAUAUCUUACUGUGUGGGCCAAGCUGACCUCAAAGUCUUUAGUCCAUCUGUAGCAGCCCCCCCCCACCCCUCCCAGUACUGUCUUACAGGUUAGUGCCUCAUCACUCAGAAAGGGCUGCAUGUUUGCUCAGGAACGGACAUCCUCCUUUCGGUAUUUACUCAGGGCCCUUAAACAUUCAUCAUCUUUGAUCUGAAUCUGUAUACAUAAAUAGCUAUUUAAUACAGAACCCUUUGGUCAUUAAUUCCACGGAUUCCAUCUCCCCCAAUGGCUAGCUACUGGGUAGUGCUAACAAUAGAACUAGUCAUGGAUUCAACCUAACCAUAGCCAUCUUCAUUCACAGUUGCCAUAACUGCCCAGAAUAACACUGGUUUUCGUUGCAGUGACUGACUGGAAUGGGUCUGUCUGAUACAAGCUUAAGAUCAACCAGGUGCGUUCUGGCUUGGAUGAACUUAUUUUUGCUCAGACUUCUUUUAUAUUGUAGUUCCUACUCAUGUCAUGGCUCUCCACAAACUUCUGAUGUCAUCCAGGACUACUUUUGUUAAUAAGUCCCCAAUAAACUGCACUGCCAUCCUA